GACGAACGCUUGCGACGUGCCUAAGAAAUGCAAGUCGAACGGGGUAGCAAUACCUAGUGGCGAACGGUCGCGUAACACGUGGGCAACCUGCCCUGAAGCGGGGGACAACAAGUCGAAAGAUUUGCUAAUACCGCAUGUGUCUCGCUGCGGCAUCGCAGAGGAGACAAAGCCGCAAGGCACUUCAGGAUGGGCCCGCGGCCUAUCAGCUUGUUGGUGAGGUAACGGCCCACCAAGGCUUCGACGGGUAGCUGGUCUGAGAGGACGAUCAGCCGGAUUGGGACUGAGAUACGGCCCAGACUCCUACGGGGGGCAGCAAUUAGGAAUCUUGCACAAUGGGCGAAAGACCUGAUGCAGCGACGUCGCGUGAAGGAUGAAAUC
rnacentral:rRNA from 1 species